CACGUAGGGUGCGAGCGUUGUCCGGAAUUAUUGGGCGUAAAGAGCUCGUAGGCGGUGUGUCACGUCGUUCGUGAAAACCUGCAGCUUAACUGUGGGCGUGCGGUCGAUACGGGCAUCACUGGAGUUCGGCAGGGGAGACUGGAAUUCCUGGUGUAGCGGUGAAAUGCGCAGAUAUCAGGAAGAACACCAAUGGCGAAGGCAGCUCUCUGGGACGGUACUGACACUGAGACGCGAAAGCGUGGGGAGCGAACAGG
rnacentral:rRNA from 1 species